rnacentral:rRNA from 1 species
ACGGAAGGCAGCAGUGAGGAAUAUUGGUCAAUGGGCGGAAGCCUGAACUAGCCAAGUCGCGUGAAGGAUGAAGGUUCUAUGGAUUGUAAACUUCUUUUGUUCGAGGGUAAAGUGAUCUACGUGUAGGUUAUUGCAAGUAUCGAACGAAUAAGCAUCGGCUAACUCCGUGCCAGCAGCCGCGGUAAUACGGAGUAUUCGAGCGUUAUCCGGAUUUAUUGGGUUUAAAGGGUGCGUAGGCGGGAUGUUAAGUCAGCGGUUAAAUAGUGUAGCUCAACUAUACUGUGCCGUUGAAACUGGCGUUCUUGAGUGUAAACGAGGUAGGCGGAAUGUGACGUGUAGCGGUGAAAUGCUUAGAUAUGUCACAGAACCCCGAUUGCGAAGGCAGCUUACUAGGAUACAACUGACGCUGAGGCACGAAAGCGUGGGUAUCAAACAGGAUUAGAUACCCUGGUA